rnacentral:rRNA from 1 species
AGCCCGGAGAAGGACACUGAGAUAAGGGUCCUAGCCCUAAGGGGCACAGCAGUCGGGAAACUUUCACAAUGCACGCAAGUGUGAUAAGGGAAUCCAACGUGCUUACCUAUUGGUAGGCUUUUGUAGAGCCUAAAAACUCUACGAAUAAGUGGUGGGAAAGACUGGUGCCAGCCGCCGCGGUAACACCAGCGCCACAAGUGGUAAUCAGUUUUAUUGGGCCUUAAGCGUCCGUAGCCGAUUUAGACAGUCUUCUGUUAAAUCGUUAAGCUUAACUUAGCGACGUGCAAAGGAAACUACUAAGUUAGAGAUCGGGAGGAGUCAGAAGUACUCUGAGGGGAGCGGUAAAAUGUGAUAAUCCUCAGUGGACUACCUGUGGCGAAGGCGUCUGACUAGAACGAAUCUGACGGUGAGGGACGAAAGCUAGGGGAGCAAAACGGAUUAGAUACCCGCGUAGUCCUAGCCGUAAACUCUGCGAACUGUGUGUUGCGUAUCUUUCGUGGAUAUGCAGUGCCGUAGCGAAGGCGUUAAGUUCGCCGCCUGGGAAGUAUGGUCGCAAGGCUGAAACUUAAAGGAAUUGGCGGGGGAGCACAAUCG